AAUGAACGCUGGCGGCGUGCCUAACACAUGCAAGUCGUACGAGAAAGGGGCUUCGGCCCUGAGUAGAGUGGCGCACGGGUGAGUAACGCGUGGGUAAUCUGCCCUUGGAUUUGGAAUAACUCCGCGAAAGUGGAGCUAAUACCGGAUAGUCUGGCUUUUUAACGAAGUCGGUAAAGGAUGCCUCUGCAUAUGCAUUCGUCCGAGGAUGAGCCCGCGUCUCAUUAGCUAGUUGGUAGGGUAAUGGCCUACCAAGGCAACGAUGAGUAGCUGGUCCGAGAGGAGGAUCAGCCACACUGGAACUGAAACACGGUCCAGACUCCUACGGGAGGCAGCAGUGGGGAAUAUUGCGCAAUGGGCGAAAGCCUGACGCAGCAACGCCGUGUGAGGGAUGAAGGCUUUCGGGUCGUAAACCUCUGUCAGAAGGGAAGAACGGGCAUUGGUCUAAUAGGCCUUUGUUUUGACGGUACCUUCAGAGGAAGCACCGGCUAACUCUGUGCCAGCAGCCGCCGUAA
rnacentral:rRNA from 1 species